GACGCGCGAGCGCCAGUCAGCCACAGUUCUGCACAUUUUUGUUUGAUUUUAGCCUUGUCAGAGGGAAGUUAUUCUGCCGUGCGUUGGCUCAUCCUUGUUUUCAAGGAGUGUUAAAGCAGUGGCCGCCACGGGACGUAUGCGCUGGACUUCACUGAUGACCGCGUUGGUGUAGGGCAUGCUGGGACGGUCUUCGCAAGAAGGCUGACGGUCACUUGCCACCACUUCACUGAUCUCCAACUGGAUCUGCGUGCCACAUUAGGCAACGAGGUAAAGUAAAGACCCCCGCGGGACGCAUGCGUUGUACUUCAUUGAUGACCGCGUUGGUGUAGGGCAUGCUGGGA